ACGCUUUUUCUUUCACCGGAGCUUGCUCCACCGAAAGAAAAAGAGUGGCGAACGGGUGAGUAACACGUGGGUAACCUGCCCAUCAGAAGGGGAUAACACUUGGAAACAGGUGCUAAUACCGUAUAACACUAUUUUCCGCAUGGAAGAAAGUUGAAAGGCGCUUUUGCGUCACUGAUGGAUGGACCCGCGGUGCAUUAGCUAGUUGGUGAGGUAACGGCUCACCAAGGCAACGAUGCAUAGCCGACCUGAGAGGGUGAUCGGCCACACUGGGACUGAGACACGGCCCAGACUCCUACGGGAGGCAGCAGUAGGGAAUCUUCGGCAAUGGACGAAAGUCUGACCGAGCAACGCCGCGUGAGUGAAGAAGGUUUUCGGAUCGUAAAACUCUGUUGUUAGAGAAGAACAAGGAUGAGAGUAAAAUGUUCAUCCCUUGACGGUAUCUAACCAGAAAGCCACGGCUAACUACGUGCCAGCAGCCGCGGUAAUACGUAGGUGGCAAGCGUUGUCCGGAUUUAUUGGGCGUAAAGCGAGCGCAGGCGGUUUCUUAAGUCUGAUGUGAAAGCCCCCGGCUCAACCGGGGAGGGUCAUUGGAAACUGGGAGACUUGAGUGCAGAAGAGGAGAGUGGAAUUCCAUGUGUAG
rnacentral:rRNA from 1 species